rnacentral:rRNA from 1 species
AGCGAACGCUGGCGGCAGGCUUAACACAUGCAAGUCGAGCGGCCGUAGCAAUACGGCAGCGGCAGACGGGAGAGUAACACGUGGGAACGUACCCUUCAGUACGGAACAACCAAGGGAAACUUUGGCUAAUACCGCAUACGUCCGUCAGGAGAAAGAUUUAUCGCUGAAGGAUCGGCCCGCGUCUGAUUAGCUAGUUGGUGAGGUAACGGCUCACCAAGGCGACGAUCAGUAGCUGGUCUGAGAGGAUGAUCAGCCUCACUGGGACUGAGACACGGCCCAGACUCCUACGGGAGGCAGCAGUGGGGAAUAUUGGACAAUGGGCGCAAGCCUGAUCCAGCCAUGCCGCGUGGAUGAUGAAGGCCCUAGGGUUGUAAAGUCCUUUUAACGGGGAAGAUAAUGACGGUACCCGUAGAAUAAGCCCCGGCUAACUUCGUGCCAGCCGCCGCCGUAA